rnacentral:rRNA from 1 species
UACAGAGGGUGCAAGCGUUAAUCGGAAUUACUGGGCGUAAAGCGUGCGUAGACGGUUAUGUAAGUCGGGUGUGAAAGCCCCGGGCUCAACCUGGGAAUUGCAUUCGAGACUGCAUAGCUAGGGUGCGGAAGGGGGAAGCGGAAUUUCCGGUGUAGCGGUGAAAUGCGUAGAUAUCGGAAGGAACACCAGUGGCGAAAGCGGCUUCCUGGUCCAGCACCGACGUUCAGGCACGAAAGCGUGGGGAGCAAACAGG